rnacentral:rRNA from 1 species
AUUGAACGUUGGCGGCAGGCCUAAAACAUGCAAGUCGAACGGUAACAGCGGGAGCUUGCUCCCGGCUGACGAGUGGCGGACGGGUGAGUAACACGUAGGAAUCUACCUAGUAGUGGGGGACAACCCGGGGAAACCCGGGCUAAUACCGCAUACGCUCUACGGAGGAAAGCGGGGGAUCUUCGGACCUCGCGCUAUUGGAGGAGCCUAGCGUCGGAUUAGCUAGUUGGUGGGGUAAAGGCCUACCAAGGCACGAUCCGAGCUGGUCUGAGAGGACGAUCAGCCACACUGGAACUGAGACACGGUCCAGACUCCUACGGGAGGCAGCAGUUAGGAAUCUUGGGCAAUGGGCNCAAGCCUGACCCAGCCAUGCCGCGUGUGUGAAAGAA